rnacentral:lncRNA from 1 species
ACGGGUUCUGAGCUCCCAGAGCUCCCUGUCACCCCCCCAUCCUGCCUUUUGCUGAGUUAAUCCGCAGCCCUGCCGGCUGAGGGGACUUACCAAGGGCUUUCCGAUGGGAGGAAGCAGUUUGGAGCUCGCACACGCUGGAAUAGCUGCUACCCAGUAAUGAAGCAGGAGAUGAGAAGUCUCACUCUUUCAGCAGCUAUUCAGACUUUCCCUGGGAACAGAGAAAGGAAUGGACAUAUUAGAAGGAUCAGACAGCUGAAAUAUGUCAAUGUGGGAACUAAGUUGGAACUUGAAUAAAAACCUUGAGGAAGGAGUGUGGAACCCUCCUGAGCUAGAGCUGAAACUGAACAUGUUAGAGAUGCAUCAAUGGAAACAACAGAGCAAUUCCAUUCCUCAGAUCUCCUGAGACAUUCCACUGCACCAUGUAAGAACAUAGAA